UGUCAGAAGUGGGAUUUGAACCCACGCCUGCAAGAGUAGACUGCGACCUGAACGCAGCGCCUUAGACUGCUCGGCCAUCCUGAC
rnacentral:tRNA from 1 species